AGGUAGAGGGUUUUUAGUCGGUAAGUCCGAGGACUUCUUCCUCGGGAAUCCGACACUACCCAGUCGUACAGAUGGCUGGGUGUCUUUUGAAGAUUUCCCCUCUUCC
rfam:Agrilus planipennis Contig18376, whole genome shotgun sequence.